CAAAAUGACUCUCGGCAACGGAUAUCUCGGCUCUCGCAUCGAUGAAGAACGUAGCGAAAUGCGAUACUUGGUGUGAAUUGCAGAAUCCCGUGAACCAUCGAGUCUUUGAACGCAAGUUGCGCCCGAAGCCAUUCGGUUGAGGGCACGUCUGCCUGGGUGUCACA
rnacentral:rRNA from 2 species